CUGGGUUCCAGCGAGUCUCCUGCUUCAGCUUCCCUAGUAGCUGGGGACUACAGGCGCAUGCCACCACGCCUGGCUAAUUUUUGUAUUUUUUGGUGGAGACGGGGUUUCACCAUGUUGCUCAGGCUGAUCUAGAACUCCUGACCUCAAGUGAUCCACCCGCCUUGGCCUCCCAGAGUGCUGAGAUUGCAGGCGUGAGCCACCUUGCCCAGCCAGGAGUUAAUACUUUCUAGAAAUAUAAGUCACUGAAUUAGCAGAACCUCAGAACUUAAGCCUGUUAUUUUCCGGUCAAAGGUUUGCAUUGAGUGUCUGGCUAGAAACUCAUAAGGAAUUGUUCAACUGAUCUUGAGAGGCCUACUCUAGGUCCUCAAGAAAGUCCUCAGUUGGGCCAUCUAACCAAAGGGAAUACUGCAGAAAGACCUGUUUCCAGAAAGUUCGAAAUUCACACACACAUUACAUUAGAACUCUGAUCCUGCCUAUUAAUAUUUUAGGAAAAAGCGCUUCCCAAGGGUUUGAUUUUUAAGUUUCUCAGAAAAUUAAGCAGGGAGGAGGGGUAAAGACAUAAAACCGUGUGUUUUGUGCCGUUCCCCAAUUCUUCCAAACGGAGGAAAGCCUGGAAGCGGCUCAUACUCACCACCCACACCUCUGCAUCUGGGUCAUUUACCUGGAACGCCAGAAUACCAAGGUGUUAGCAGACAUCCUGUGCUGUUCCAUUCCUUUUAAAUUCAUUUAAGCACAUUUUUUAUUAAUUUGUUAAGUGCCAGACACUGCAAUAGGCAUCGAGGGUACAAAAUCUGAACAGGAUAUAGUCCAGAUGAGGACGGGUGAAGGGGUUUCUGGCUGACACAACAGAUGUUUUUAACAGGCAGCCACACAUUUUUGAAAAGCCUUCACGGGAGCUCUGGAGAGGACUCGCCAACCCAGAACGGGUAUUUUAAGGGCCCUCCACCCCCACCAGUCUCAAGAAAUGAGGGAAAUGAUUAUGAAGGGGGUCCCCAAGCCGACUAAAAAGUUUAAUGAUGCUAUAAAGGGUUUUGGUCGGCUUCGUCUCCUAGGCCCUGAGAUAUGUUCAGUGUCGUCCGCGGGCCGGACGUUAACGCAGGAGCCAGGGCCGCUUCUUCUGAGGUCCCCUGGGAAGUUCCACGCGCGGAACCAGCCCCUUCCAGGGUGUGAGCCCUGGUAUGGGACUCGCUUCCAUGAACACAUCCGCGUCUCUUAGACGGGGGAGAAAGUGGGGGCUCCCCAAGCAGAAAGCCCAAGUCCCGUCCUCCCCACUAACUGUGCGCCCCUGCGACUCUGCCCGCUAGUCAGUUACACGGCCCGCUAGGCCAGGGGGCGGAGCUGGGAGCCGGGCGGGUCCCCCUCCCACCGCGGCCGCCUGACCUGCACCAAGGCCGCCAGCGCGAAGAAGGCGGCCAUGAGUCCGUUGCAGGCCCGCCACAGCGCUGGCGCCAUGGCUCGGAGAACACGGCGCGGGGCGGUGAGUCCUGCCACGUGCGGGGCGGUGUGGUCAGCUACUCCGGAAUGUGGCAGGGGUGGAGGCCGGACAAAGUCUGAAACAGGGUCAUCACCAGUGAGUGGCUCCUGCCUGUGCUCUAUGUCCAGAGUGUGUGUGUGCUGGUGAUGCUCCCAAGGUGACAUAUUGGGAACAAGGAUUACAAGGAUCAGAAACUGCUGCCCAUGCCGUCUACCUCCCUCUGUCCAGCACACCAGAUCAGCAAAGGCCAAGCCAUGCUGUCUCCAGGCUCUGCUGAUUCCAUGUGAAUGAAGUGUUGGGGCAGGAAAGGGUUGGAACAGAACAGUGGAGGAAUUCUACUAGGAGCAGUGGACGAAUUCUACUAGGAGCUAGACAGCCUUCUGCUAAAAUAUUUGAAAUCAGAAAAGCACCUCGCCACGGCAAGGAUUGAUUUGCUUCUACAAAACCCAUCUAGUCUCUAUGAAGGACUUGGGUUUCUACUGUUAGCAAAAUAUAGCCCGUGUUAUGAAAGUCUUAAAGCUUACGCAUAUUGAUGGACAAUGAAAAACACUUGGCUUGAAUAAUGUUCCUCAAAUAUCCCCUUAUGCCACUGAAAGGAGAAUAUGGUUAAAUGAACCCUCUGCGUGUAUUUAUAUCCACCCUAUUCAUUGGCAUGAAACACUCAGUGAGCCAUUUAUUCUAUCCAUUUAUUCUGUCCAUUUAUUCAAGACUUCCUACGUGUCAGGCACUAUGCUAAUAACUGAGGAUGUGACUGUGACCUCACGGGACACGGUGUUUGCCCUUGUAGAGCUUACAGGCCAAACAAUAAUUACACGAAUAGGUAGGGGUUCCAGCCAACAAUGGUGGUGAUGCUGAGAAGGAGAAGUGAGGCUGCUAUGGGAAUGUGUGAAACCAGAGAAUCUGACCUCUUCCCAGGGGUUCCAGAAACCUCCUGAGGAGGUGAUUUUCAGGUGUGCCCUGAAAGAUGAAUGGGUGAGGACAGGUGAAGACUUUAUGGACCAGUGCUUAAAGCCGAGAGAGAAGUGCUUAUGAGAAGACCAAAUCCUGAAGGUCUUCAGGGCCUGGCAAAGAAUGAGAGUACAAGUAGACAUAGAUGAGGCUAGCACAAUGCAG
rnacentral:lncRNA from 10 species